rnacentral:rRNA from 1 species
UGGUGGGUAGUUUGACUGGGGCGGUCUCCUCCUAAAGAGUAACGGAGGAGCACGAAGGUUGGCUAAUCCUGGUCGGACAUCAGGAGGUUAGUGCAAUGGCAUAAGCCAGCUUGACUGCGAGCGUGACGGCGCGAGCAGGUGCGAAAGCAGGUCAUAGUGAUCCGGUGGUUCUGAAUGGAAGGGCCAUCGCUCAACGGAUAAAAGGUACUCCGGGGAUAACAGGCUGAUACCGCCCAAGAGUUCAUAUCGACGGCGGUGUUUGGCACCUCGAUGUCGGCUCAUCACAUCCUGGGGCUGAAGUAGGUCCCAAGGGUAUGGCUGUUCGCCAUUUAAAGUGGUACGCGAGCUGGGUUUAGAACGUCGUGAGACAGUUCGGUCCCUAUCUGCCGUGGGCGCUGGAGAACUGAGGGGGGCUGCUCCUAGUACGAGAGGACCGGAGUGGACGCAUCACUGGUGUUCGGGUUGUCAUGCCAAUGGCACUGCCCGGUAGCUAAAUGCGGAAGAGAUAAGUGCUGAAAGCAUCUAAGCACGAAACUUGCCCCGAGAUGAGUUCUCCCUGACUCCUUGAGAGUCCUGAAGGAACGUUGAAGACGACGACGUUGAUAGGCCGGGUGUGUAAGCGCAGCGAUGCGUUGAGCUAACCGG